UUUCUGCUUUCAAACACCGGUUCCCGUCCGAUCACCGAAGUGAAGCAACGUCGAGCCCGCUCAUUACUUAGAGGGGUGACCGCUUAGGAAUACCAGGUGUUGUAAG